UGACACUUGAAUUAGUAAAUACCAGAUCUUUGGGAUUUUUUCGGUCCCAGCUUACGAGCUUCAAGCAGCGAAUUUAUUUUGCACAUAGUUAGGCGUUAAGUUUUACAUUCGCGUUGUAUGUAAUCUACGACGGCAAAAGUUUACGUAAAGUUAUAAAAGAAAUUUUACCUUCCAAAUAUCCAGAAAUUUGAGACACAAUUUUGCAAGCUUCCCAGCAUAUCAACGAUAUCAAGAUUUCUUCCCUCAUUCAAAUUUCUGCAUAGAAAUUAAACCCAUGUCCACCAUUACCAUGUCAAAAUUUGCGAUUAUUUUGCUCAUCGGAACUGUUACCUUGUUCCCCCUUGGAGCUGAGGGUGCCGCUCGCACCUGCAUCUGCACCGCGGCCAAUGGGAAAGGAAACUACUGCGGGUAUGAAAUUGAAGAAAACUGUGAAGCUGAUCAGGGCUACUCGUGUUCCGGAAAGGCGGGCGAGGUCGCGGAGGACGUUCCCAGUGAGGCGAUUACUUGCGCCAAGAAAUUAGCAGACGCGGAUGGAUUUAGCGGACGUACGGGCGGAUUAUAAUGGGUAUUGAAUCCAAAAACCAUCACAGAGUAGGAUAAAUGUGCGGUCUCAAUUUUCCCCUGUUUAAAAAUUUCAAGUUUAUAGGCAUGCAAAAUUGAUUCAAUAAAAUUAUUACGUAUGAAAGGCGCAGAUAAA